UGUCCCCAGGGUCUCAAUUAAUGUCCCCAGUGUCCCAACUGGUGUCCCCAGUGUCCCAGCUGGUGUCCCCAGCAUCUCAGCUGGGGGUCCCAGUGUCCCAGUUGGUGUCCCCAGCAUCCCAGUUGAGGGUCCCAGUGUCCCAGUUGGUGUCCCCAGUGUCCUAUUUAGGGGUCCCAAAGUCCCAGUUGGUGUCGCCAGUGUCCCAAUUGGGGGUCCCAGUGUCCAAUUGGGGGUCCCAGCGUCCCAGUUUGGGGUUCCAGUGUCCUAGUUGGUGUCCCAGUGUCCCAGUUGGGUGUCCCAGUUGUCCCAGUGUCCCAGUUGGUGUCCUCAGUGUCCCAGUUGGUGUCCCCCUGUCCCAGUGUCCCAGUUUGUCCCAGUGUCCCAGUUGGGUGUCCCAGUUGUCCCAGUGUCCCAGUUGGUGUCCCAGUGUCCCAGUUGGUGUCCCCCUGUCCCAGCUGUCCCAGUGUCCCACCCUGAGCAGCAGCAGCAGCCCCGGCCCAGCCGAGCAGAGCAGCAGCAGCACCCCCUGCGCCGUCAGGAUCCGGUUCUUGGUGCUCUCCCUCAGCGCCAGGAACGGGGCGGGAACCGGCUCUGUGGGAACGGGACUGGGUAACUGGGAGGGACUGGGUAUACUGGGAGGGACUGGGUUACACUGGAGGGCACUGGGUUAUACAGGGAGGGACUGGGCUAUACUGGGAGGGAGUGGAGGGCACUGGGUUAUACUGGGAAGGAGUGGAGGGCACUGGUGGUGACUGGGUUAUACUGGGAGGGACUGGGUUACACUGGGAGGGGCUGGGUUAUACUGGGAGGGCACUGGGUUACACUGGGAGGGACUGGAGGGCACUGGUUUAUACUGGGAGGGACUGGAGGGCACUGGUGGCGACUGGGUUAUACUGGGAGGGACUGGGCUAUACUAGGAGGGUACUGGGUUAUACUGGUAGGGAGUGGAGGGCACUGGGUUAUACUGGGAGGGACUGAGUUAUACUGGGAGAGAGUGGAGGGCACUGGGUUAUACCGGGAGGGAGUGGAGGGCACUGGUGGCGACUGGGUUAUACUGGGAGGGACUGGGCUAUACUAGGA
rnacentral:lncRNA from 1 species